rnacentral:rRNA from 2 species
AAAUUGAAGAGUUUGAUCAUGGCUCAGAUUGAACGCUGGCGGCAGGCCUAACACAUGCAAGUCGAACGGUAACAGGAAGCAGCUUGCUGCUUCGCUGACGAGUGGCGGACGGGUGAGUAAUGUCUGGGAAACUGCCUGAUGGAGGGGGAUAACUACUGGAAACGGUAGCUAAUACCGCAUAACGUCGCAAGACCAAAGAGGGGGACCUUCGGGCCUCUUGCCAUCGGAUGUGCCCAGAUGGGAUUAGCUUGUUGGUGGGGUAACGGCUCA